rnacentral:lncRNA from 1 species
GAAAAUAGUAGGGGCCUUUUCCAAAGGAAUAACCACUAAAACCAAGUUCUUUUAUUCAUAACACGACACUAGAUAACCAGCAUGUUCAGAACAAGAAGCUAAACCAGCCUUUUGAAGAAAAGCAUGAAAGAAAAUAAUUGAAAAAGUCCCAAUAGAGAUAGAAUUUAGAUUGACUUUUUCAACUUUAUUCUCUUCAAUUUUUUGCUACCGGUGGGUCAACACGACAACGGGUAAUCGGAUUGCAGCCACGGUGAUAAGAGUUUGAUAGUGUCGAUAGAGUUCUCUUGGAUUGGAAUACACCAAGCAUGCGCCGUGGUUCGACAAAAGCCUCAUUGGACCCGCCUUUACGAUCUCCUCCUGCGCUGCUUCCACGAAAUAAUAGUUGUUGAGCAGCAAAAGCCAAAUCACUGCAAGUCCUACCAUCCUCCAUUGCAUCUCCACUCGCGCCAUGUCUCUCAAGCACUCCUCGGUUUCCGUACACUCUCCGGUGAUGGGAAGAGUUUUGUUUGACGGUAGUGAUGAGAAGGGUUGAUGGCAUUGGAAUUUAUAAGGUUGAAGGGAG